UCCUCAAGCAAUAAAAGUACUUCUGGCGCUAUUCUCAAUGGAAUAUCUGCAAAGCCAACGGCAUACAAAGAACAUCUCCAAAAAGCUGUAGAUGAGRCAGUCAAAGAAAUGGAUGGAUGCGAGGACCCUGYUGCCGUCCUGAGGUGCUUCCAGCAACACUUUUUAAGAGGACGCAAGCUCGACCUAGAAGAAGAGGACAUUUCG